GACGAACGCUGGCGGCGUGCUUAACACAUGCAAGUCGAGCGGUAAGGCCCUUUCGGGGGUACACGAGCGGCGAACGGGUGAGUAACACGUGGGUGACCUGCCCUCAGCUCUGGGAUAAGCCCGGGAAACUGGGUCUAAUACUGGAUAUGACUCCACGGUGCAUGCCGUGGGGUGGAAAGCCUUGUGCGGCUGAGGAUGGGCCCGCGGCCUAUCAGCUUGUUGGUGGGGUGAUGGCCUACCAAGGCGACGACGGGUAGCCGGCCUGAGAGGGCGACCGGCCACACUGGGACUGAGACACGGCCCAGACUCCUACGGGAGGCAGCAGUGGGGAAUCUUGCGCAAUGGGCGAAAGCCUGACGCAGCGACGCCGCGUGAGGGAUGACGGCCUCGGUGUAAC
rnacentral:rRNA from 1 species